AUUGAACGCUGGCGGCAUGCCUUACACAUGCAAGUCGAACGGCAGCGGACCUUCGGGUGCCGGCGAGUGGCGAACGGGUGAGUAAUGCAUCGGAACGUGCCAUUGAGUGGGGGAUAACGUAGCGAAAGUUACGCUAAUACCGCAUAUUCUGUGAGCAGGAAAGCAGGGGACCGCAAGGCCUUGCGCUCUUUGAGCGGCCGAUGUCAGAUUAGCUAGUUGGUGAGGUAAAGGCUUACCAAGGCGACGAUCUGUAGCGGGUCUGAGAGGAUGAUCCGCCACACUGGAACUGA
rnacentral:rRNA from 1 species